rnacentral:tRNA from 1 species
AAAAAGAUAAGCUAAUAAAGCUAAUGGGUUCAUACCCCAUAUAUGAGGAUUAUCCUCUCUUUUUA